UUGCGACCCCAGGUCA
rnacentral:rRNA from 1 species